AACACACAAAUGAGAGGAGACGGUAGAUGACAGUGCAGACAGGAAUUCAAGGGAAAGUGUUUGCACAGAGAGAGCCUUUGCUGCACACUCGACUGAGUCGCCAAACAAGAACAAAGGAGAAGGAAGCCACAUGUGAAAGAUGACGAAUACUCUCUCCCUCUCCCAUUCUCCCCAAAGGUGGAGGUUGGACGAUUCCCCUGACUACUUCACUAGUGCUUGAUAUGGCAGCAGGUAUGCGAUCGAUUGAUUCUGGCACCCAACAACACAACAUUUUAAGCUCCUUAUGUAGUCGUGACUCUGUGCUGGUUUGUAUUUGCCGCCUCCAGUUUUCCCUUUGUUUUGUCUCCAGCUAACGCCGUGAUGUAAUUAUGAUGUCGACACUAAAAGGGUAUAUUGAGAGGUUCAGUCCAAAUUUUCUUAAGAGACACAAUCGCUUUAUAUGAUGAACAGAUUGAAUUUAUGCUUUUAUUCACAUAUAAACAUUGAUCAGUGAACAUGAGCAGAAGCACAACCGAACCUGAAUGACACACGAGAACAACCCUCUUCCAGAAGCUCAUAUAUGCUGUGUAACACGAGAAUGAACCUCAUGUCAAGCGAACAUGCUUGAGCUUCCGUUUACCACAACUGUAUGAGCUGAUGAAUGUUUAUGUGAAUAAAAGCCUAUAAAUUAAA